CAAGCUCUCCCUGCGGCUCAACCCCGGCUAAGUUGGAAAGGUGUGGGCGGAGCCGUUGGAGUCCGAGGGGUCCGUCCCGGGCGCCUGGCGGCUUGGGCAACAAUGGGGUCCCGACGGGGGCUGCUCCGCGGGUGACGGGGGCAGAGAGACUCUACUAGAGAUGAGGGGGAAUCAUUAUUUAGGUUCGAGUGCGUUGCACGUUGCAAGAGAAGCCAGGGCGCCCCACUCGCUGAGAUUCACCUUGGCGGGAUGAAUGGGGGCGAGGUUCGGGCGUGUGCCUCGCUCGGCUACCGGGGCACGCCGGGGCGCCUAAGCAAGCUGGCCAUUUAGGAAAGCAGUGAAAGAGGACAGGAGGCUCCAGCUGAGCUGGGACCCCAGCCAGGGCGGCGGGGACAUGAGUAGGGACAGAUCGGUGCUCCGUCCUCGGAGGGGAGCCCGGUGCUGGACGCCAUCCCUGCAGCCCCGCCUGCGCGCACGGAGCACCUUUCAAAUUUAAACAAAGCCAUGUCUGUGACCGUGGUUUGGAGUUAUCUAUUAGAGUCUGGUGGGCUCAUUACAGGGUACAAAACUGGAGGCAAUGUGCCCCUCCCACCAAGAAAUGGACAAUCUUCUAUUAGUGAAGCAUGGAGUCUCUCCCCACUUUGAACUGUCUUACUAUUUUGCAGGGACACCAUCAUGCUUAGAGGGCCAUUUUCUCUUAUUCUUGCUAAUGGUGAAGUACUUAAAAACAAAACCAACCAGUCAAACAGACCCUUAAGGCAUUAAAGAAGAAUGGCUUGAGAUGACACCCUUUGAACUCUGGGAAGAUGAGUGAGACCAUCUUGAGACUGGGCUAUAAGGGACUGUUACUGCCACAGCCUGUUGAGAAGAUCACAGAGCUCUGAGGAAGAACGAAUCUGGCAGUAAAAUAAAGAUGAAGGUUGCAGCAGCCUCAAAGAUCUCUUAGAUCCACACCUAAUCCUCAGAAACUUGUUCUGGGGAAGGAGAGCUUGGACAAGAGAGAGAAGGAUCCAUCAGAUCCAUCGGAACUUUAGCCUUAACGUGGGAAGUUUUAGUUGGUUUUAGUUUCAUUACAAUCAGAAAGACCUAAAUAGAUCUAUCACCACUGAAGCUAAAAUGAUUUAAAUAAAUCUGUUAGGGAAGAACAGAGAGGAGUAAUGGCCUGAAACUUUGCUUAAAACUGAAAACAAAGUAACAUGAAAUAAAAAUAGAAAGGAAGGAAAGGAG